rnacentral:snoRNA from 1 species
ACAUGAUGACCCCAUUCUAACCCAGCUCGAUGACGCCGGUGUGAUUAUUCCUUUUGUUCCCUGUUGGGCUGA